rnacentral:rRNA from 1 species
UACGGAGGGCGCAAGCGUUGUUCGGAAUCACUGGGCGUAAAGCGCGUGCAGGCGGCUUGGUAAGUCGGGUGUGAAAUCCCGGAGCUCAACUCCGGAACUGCACCCGAUACUGCCUCGCUAGAGUCCCGGAGAGGAUGGCGGAAUUUCCGGUGUAGAGGUGAAAUUCGUAGAUAUCGGAAGGAACACCAGCGGCGAAGGCGGCCAUCUGGACGGUGACUGACGCUCAGACGCGAAAGCGUGGGGAGCAAACAGG